UACGGAGGGGGCUAGCGUUGUUCGGAAUUACUGGGCGUAAAGCGCGCGUAGGCGGACCUGCAAGUCGGGGGUGAAAGCCCGAGGCUCAACCUCGGAACUGCCUUCGAUACUGCGGGUCUCGAGUCCGGGAGAGGUGAGUGGAAUUCCUAGUGUAGAGGUGGAAUUCGUAGAUAUUAGGAAGAACACCAGUGGCGAAGGCGGCUCACUGGUCCGGUACUGACGCUGAGGUGACGAAAGCGUGGGGAGCAAACAGG
rnacentral:rRNA from 1 species